rnacentral:rRNA from 1 species
AUUGAACGCUGGCGGCAUGCUUUACACAUGCAAGUCGAACGGUAACAGGUUAAGCUGACGAGUGGCGAACGGGUGGGUAAUGCAUCGGAACGUGCCCGAUCGUGGGGGAUAACGCAGCGAAAGCUGCGCUAAUACCGCAUACGAUCUGAGGAUGAAAGCGGGGGACCGUAAGGCCUCGCGCGAUCGGAGCGGCCGAUGUCAGAUUAGGUAGUUGGUGGGGUAAAGGCCCACCAAGCCGACGAUCUGUAGCUGGUCUGAGAGGACGACCAGCCACACUGGGACUGAGACACGGCCCAGACUCCUACGGGAGGCAGCAGUGGGGAAUUUUGGACAAUGGGUGAAAGCCUGAUCCAGCCAUGCCGCGUGCAGGAUGAAGGCCUUCGGGUUGUAAACUGCUUUUGUACGGAACGAAAAGACUCUUUCUAAUAAAGAGGGUCCAUGACGGUACCGUAAGAAUAAGCACCGGCUAACUACGUGCCAGCAGCCGCGGUAAAAC